GCUAAACAUUUAGCCUAAACUUUUUAUUCACGCUCAACACCCCAUUAAAAUAUUUUAACAUUUUAGUAGAGACGACCAAAAAACUAAUAAGAGCUAUAUUAAAGUACCGCAAGGGAAAAAUGAAAUAGUAAUGAAACACUAAAAAGCAUAAAAAAGUAGAGAUAAUAACUUGUACCUUUUGCAUCAUGGUUUAACUAGUAUAAUCGAGCAAAAGGAUUCUUAGUUUGACACCCCGAAACUGAAUGAGCUACUUCAGGGCAGCUUUCUGAGCUAACCCGUCCCUGUUGCAAAAUGGUGGGGAGACCCUGCAGUAGCGGUGACAUGCCUAACGAAUUCAGUAAUAGCUGGUUACUCGGGAAAAGAAUUUUAGUCCAACCUAAAGUUGCCUAGUAAAAUGAACUACUUACUUUAGAGCAAUUCAAAUAAGGUACAGCCUAUUUGACACAGGACACAACCUCUAAUUACGGCUAACUCACAUUAAACUUAAAUUAAGUGGGCCUAAAAGCAGCCACCUUUAAAGGGCGUCAAAGCCUAAUUUUUGUUUUAUCCAAUCCCAAAACCCAUAAAGAACCCUUCAUCAAUACUGAGUACUUCUAUAUCUUUAUAGAAAUUUUUAUGUUAAAACUAGUAACAAGAAAAUAUUUCUCUUAAAAUGCAAGUAUAAAUCAGAAAGGACCCCCCACUGAUAGUUACACCUAACAACAGCAACCCACACCCUCGAAAAUCCUGCUUCUUCAACCGUUAACCUAACACAAGAGCAUUUCAAGAAAGAUUUUAAAAAAAAGAAGGAACUCGGCAAAUAUAGAUUCCGCCUGUUUACCAAAAACAUCGCCUCUUGCACAAAUAUAGGAGGUCCAACCUGCCCGGUGAUAUUAAUUAAACGGCCGCGGUACCCUAACCGCGCAAAGGUAGCACAAUCACUUGUCUCCUAAUUAGAGACUAGUAUGAAAGGACCCACGAGAGUUUAACUGUCUCCUUUUUUUAAUCUGUGAAACUAAUCUCCCUGUGAAAAAGCAGGGAUUUUAUUAUAAGACGAGAAGACCCUAUGGAGCUUUAGAUAAAGUAAUAUUUCCUUUUCCUCACUCUUUCCAGAAAACACUAAUUAAAGUAUAUUAUUACAUACCUUCGGUUGGGGCGACCGCGGAGUAAAAUUUACCCUCCACGCUGAAUGGGAACCCCCACGACAAAGAGCCACAGCUCUACACCUCAAAAAAUUGACAAUUGACCCAAUAUUUGAUCAACGAAACAAGUUACCCUAGGGAUAACAGCGCAAUCUACUUCAAGAGUCCAUAUUGACAAGUGGGUUUACGACCUCGAUGUUGGAUCAGGGUACCCCAGUGGUGUAACCGCUACUAAAGGUUUGUGUGUUCAACAAUUAAAACCCUACGUGAUCUGAGU
rnacentral:rRNA from 1 species